AAAACGGUCCUUUUCAGGACCACAUUUCAAUUACGAAAUAAGAGCC
rfam:Euroglyphus maynei isolate Arlian Lab scaffold22358, whole genome shotgun sequence.